rnacentral:misc_RNA from 1 species
GAAAGAUUAUAAAGUAGAAAAGACACAAUCAGAUGUCAUGUGUCUUAAACAUAGAUUUACAAGUAGAAGGUCCAGUUUAUAUGAUCCAAAUCUCCACAAACUAAAUUAUAACCAAGAUGAUAUUGGUAGCACACAAUAUCAUUUUUACAAUGGCUAGGAGAACCUGCAUAGCCUCAAGGAAGACGUAACCGAUAUGUAAUUUGCUGAAUACAAUCAAAGUUUCCAACUUCAAAAGUUAGUCCUGCUUGGAAUCAUCCACUCCAACUGCCUUAGGUACAGGAUGGGGGGCGCCAGGACUUGGUUCUUCUCCGGAAACAGAAUUAUUGGGUUUAGUAGCUGAUGGUUUAAAAGGACAAGCAGGAGGUGCGCUUUCUGGUUUCUGAUACUCCUUCCCACACAUUCUAUAAACUUUCGCCAUGAGAAUAUGGAAGAGAACAGGUAAUAAAUUAACGAUCGGGACUAGGAACAGUGGUAUUAAGCAAGCUACACAAACCAUUUUUUUUAAAGAUUUGUUUAAAAAAAAAUUACUUUUUUCCUUUGUGUUCUUAGAUUUCUGGUUUGUUUUUGUGUGGAGAAGA